rnacentral:misc_RNA from 1 species
GAUGAAGAAUGUAGCGAAAUGCGAUAAGUAAUGUGAAUUGCAGAAUUCAGUGAAUCAUCGAAUCUUUGAACGCACAUUGCGCCCGCCAGUAUUCUGGCGAGCAUGCCUGUUCGAGCGUCAUUUCAACCAUCAAGCCCCAGGCUUGUGUUGGAGCCCUGCGGCUGCCGCAGCCUCCCAAAACCAGUGGCGGGCUCGCUAUCACACCGAGUGCAGUAGUUUACUCUUCGCUCAGGGCGUGUGGCGGGUGCUAGCCGUGAAACCCCCAACUUCUCAAGGUUGACCUCGGAUCAGGUAGGAAUACCCGCUGAACUUAAGCAUAUCAAUAAGCGGAGGA